GCUUGGGUGGUGUUUAUAAACAUCAGAAUCUUGUUGAUUUUAUUUGAAAUUUCAGAUCUUGCUGGGCACUGUGAUGUCUGUAAUCCCAGCACUUAGGAAGUAGAAGUACAACAGAUCAAGAGUUCAAGGCCAGCUAUAGCCAAAUACUGAGCUUAAGGCCAGCCUGAGCUACAUGAGAAUCCUCUCUUAAAAUGCAAAAACAAAUAAAAAAGAAAUUCCAGUUCUUUAGUAGAAGGAACAAUAGGCUUUGAAAUUUGAUAGAGUAUCUCACAAGCCCAUACUCCUGAGCUCCACUGAGCCCCUGCUGUGGUCCUUGUGUGGCUCUUGAUGGUUUCCCUGAGUUGUGAGUGACUUAAAUUGCAGAACUACUUAAGGGAGCUGGGGUUAGGGAGAGUUCUUUCUUUAUUCCCUCAUUCUACUAUAGAAAAGACAUUCUUGGCUUUCUUUUAUUAAUUUUACUGAUGUAUUGGAAGACAGACCACAUUUCAUCAAAUUUACCAUGCUUACAGCAUCUCUCUCUCUCUCUCUCUCUGUCUCUGUCUCUGUCUCUCUGUCUCUCUGUCUCUGUCUCCCUGUCUCUCUGUCUCUCUGUCUCUCUGUCUCUCUCUCUCUCUCUCUCUCUCUCUCUCUCUCUCUCUCUCUCUUUGGUUUUUCAAGAUAGAGUUUCUGGCUGUUCUGGAACUUGAUUAAUAGACCAGGCUAGUCUUGAACUCACAGAGAUCUGCCUAGUUAAAGGCAUUUGCCACCAACACCUGGCCCUGGUAGGACUUUUACAGACACUGAAAAUUUUAAGAAAUUGAGGCUUUCUAGCUAUGGUGGGGCACACUUACAAUCCCAGCACUUGGGACACAGAGGCAGGCAGAUCUCUGAGUUCCAGGACAGCCGUGGCUAUACAGAGAAACCCUGUCUCAAAAAAACAAACAACAAAAACCUGAAAAAGUCCUACUAGGAAUGGCAGUUGUCUUGGGAAAUCUGUUUAUUGACUAUCAGUUUCUGUCUUAUCCUUGUGUGUUCAGCUCUUUGAGACAGGACAAAGCACUACAAAUUUCCCACUGUCUUCUUGUGUUUUCAUACCAGUUGCUUUCAGACUCUAUGAUUUGGAUAAAGAUGACAAGAUCUCCCGUGAUGAGCUGUUACAGGUAUGUGGGAAAGUUUCAGAACAGUGUGUAUUUUGGGUCCUGACUUUAUUUUUAUGGGCAGCAGUUGUUCUUUCUUUUCGGUAAACAUUCCUUUAAUCCCUGCCUUGUAAAGAGUCCUUUUGCAGAUAAAAGGCAGAGGAGAAGACCAGGAAAUACUUGCUGUGGGCCACUUGAGUCUUCACGGAUAGGCGGUCUCAACCACUUAAAAGCUGGCGGUCUCUGAGGUGCUGAGUGACAUAGGGAAAUAAACAGUGUGGCUGGCUUAUACAGCUUAGUUGUUGACGGAUCAACUUGUUAGCAGCAAUUUAAUUCUAAAGACUCUGAAGGAAAUUCUGCUGUUUAGUCUCUUCUUGGACUAGGUGUCAGUCAAGGGAUCGCUGUGGCUGCAUCCACCCAAUAGUUGGUAGCUGCAGGCUGCAGGGGAUGCUUCGCUGUAUCCCAGCUAUGACUGAUGAUUGCCUGGUUUGUAUUGCUCAGCAUCUCUUAUUCUUUUUAUAAGUUUAGGGCAUAGGAACCUGUCCCUUUCAUUGGGUCUAGAAGACCCCAGAUAGCUAGGACACUGAGGAAUUUCUAUUGGGCAAGUUUCAAGAUAUAUCUAAAAGGAAAAGUACUUUCUGCUCUUUAGUAAAUCAGAACUCAUUUUAUAUCUUCAAAAACCUUACAAGUUGAAGCCUGCCCAGAUCAGAUUAAGGAACAACUCAGUCUCUGUGCAUUUCAAUGAGAAAAUUCAAACCAGGAGGCCAGUGGUAGUGUGCCCUGGCCACUGCUUUAAAAACAAAACAAAAACACAUAUAAUAUUUACUACAUAUUCUCUUGAGAAUUUCAUACAUGGAUGUGAUAUGUUUGAUCAUAUAUGCCUUCCCCCUCCACUUUUCUUAUCCUCUUCAAAACAUCCCCUUCCCAGCAUAUGUCCUUUUUGAGAAAAACAACGCACUCCGUCCAGUCAAUGCUGCCUAUGUACACAUGUACAUUGGACCCUCUGUUGGAACAUGGGCAGCCUACUAGCACACGCCAACAAUAAAUGACUAUCUCUCCUCCAGCAGCCCAAAUGCCAGCAGCAGCCUCUCAGCUAUGGGUGGCUCUUGUGAGCCCCUUCCCUCCCAUACUUGAUGUUGACUUUGCCUUUUGGUUUUGAAGUAGGAAUAGCUUUUUUUCAGUGAGAACUAUACUGUUUUACUGAAAGUUACACCCAUGGCCUUUGAGGACUGAAAAGACAGAAGCAGCCAUUCCAAGUUACAUAUUUUCAUCCCGUGGUCCAGAUCUGGCUACCAGAAAGAUGAUUUUGAAAUGGAGAGUGGGUUUAUUUUCUUUUAUUAGGAUUUGUAAGCAAUUUUGUGACAUGGGAUGAGAACGUUACUGUGGGGCCAGGAAUGGCUUUGUCACAGAUGUACUCCUGGAUUGGUGAGGUAUCCAGGCAACUAGUUUUAGCCUAGCAAGGAGAGAGCAGUUUUCCAAAGUAGGAGAAGAGAACAGAGUUUGUCCUUUUAGGCACUGCAAUUUCUAAAGAAUUAGGUGAAUAGUGUAAUCUGUUCUGUGUCACUUAUACUUAAGCAGAGAUGCGUGCUGUAUUCACAGAUCCAUUUCAUGAGAUAGCAUAUCUCGGAUUUUAUAAAGGUAGUAUAAGAAAAUAUUGUCCAAACCCUUUAUUUUCACCUAG
rnacentral:lncRNA from 1 species